AGCGAACGCUGGCGGCAGGCUUAACACAUGCAAGUCGAACGCCCCGCAAGGGGAGUGGCAGACGGGUGAGUAACACGUGGGAACGUACCCUUUGGUUCGGAAUAACCUGGGGAAACUCAAGCUAAUACCGGAUAAGCCCUUAUGGGGAAAGGCUUACUGCCGAAGGAUCGGCCCGCGUCUGAUUAGCUAGUUGGUAAGGUAAUGGCUCACCAAGGCGACGAUCAGUAGCUGGUCUGAGAGGAUGCUCAGCCACACUGGGACUGAGACACGGCCCAGACUCCUACGGGAGGCAGCAGUGGGGAAUAUUGGACAAUGGGGGCAACCCUGAUCCAGCCAUGCCGCGUGAGUGAUGAAGGCCUUAGGGUUGUAAAGCUCUUUUACCCGGGACGAUAAUGACUGUACCGGGAGAAUAAGCCCCGACUAACUUCGUGCCAGCCGCCGCGGUAA
rnacentral:rRNA from 1 species